UACGAAGGGUGCAAGCGUUACUCGGAAUUACUGGGCGUAAAGCGUGCGUAGGUGGUUUGUUAAGUCUGUUGUGAAAGCCCCGGGCUCAACCUGGGAAUGGCAAUGGAUACUGGCAGGCUAGAGUGCGGUAGAGGGUAGUGGAAUUCCCGGUGUAGCGGUGAAAUGCGUAGAGAUCGGGAGGAACACCAGUGGCGAAGGCGGCUACCUGGACUAGCACUGACACUGAGGCACGAAAGCGUGGGGAGCAAACAGG
rnacentral:rRNA from 1 species